AGAGUUUCUUCGAGGGACAGUCCGCUCCGUGGGACUCGGCCAAGAAGGACGAGAACCGCAUGAAGAAUCGCUACGGAAACAUCAUCGCCUACGACCACUCUCGUGUGCGUCUGCAGCAUCAGGACGGAGAGAACGGCUCCGACUACAUCAACGCCAACUACGUGGACGGCUACCACAGACCCAACCACUACAUCGCCACGCAAGGU